UACGUAGGGUGCGAGCGUUGUCCGGAAUACUGGGCGUAAAGAGCUCGUAGGUGGUUGUCGCGUUGUUCGUGAAAACUCACAGCUCAACUGUGGGCGUGCGGGCGAUACGGGCAGACUAGAGUACUGCAGGGGAGACUGGAAUUCCUGGUUGUAGCGGUGGAAUGCGCAGAUAUCAGGAGGAACACCGGUGGCGAAGGCGGGUCUCUGGGCAGUAACUGACGCUGAGGAGCGAAAGCGUGGGGAGCGAACGG
rnacentral:rRNA from 1 species